CAGAGCCCAGAGCUCGGUCUGGGACCCCGGCCAGCACCACGGCUGCCACCCCAAAGAGAUCCCAAGAGGAAAUUCCUGGCGGGCCCAAGCUGGAUUUCCCCGUGCUGCCAUCCAUCAUGAGGAAGCCUCCGAGGUGGAUGUUCCACAGCAGAUUUCAAGGAGUUCCCCAGGACAUGUCCUUCAGCAAAUGCCAAAAAUGCCACUGAAGGUGGCUCCAGGAGAAGAAUUCAGUGUCCAUGAGGACAACAAGUGUCCACCCACCCCUCCCACACGCCUGAAA